AAAACUAUUAAGCACGAAUUAACUACCGAACCCCUAUUAGCUACUAACUACACAUCCUAGCAACGCUACAUUUAGCUAGACAUAACUAAAACUAAAGACAUAAAAAUAAAAUAAGCAAAUAAAUAAAAAGACAUAAUAAAAAUAAAAACAAAAAUUAAAAGCAUAAAAUAAAAGCAAUAAAAUAAAGACAAGAAAUAAAUAAGACCAUAAAAUAAAAUAAGAACCUGAAAUAUAAAAGAAAUCUCGAGUACGGAUUCCGACAGCGUAACGUCAGGAAAUAAAAAAAACUUAUUAAAUUCUCAACGGAGAAUAAAAUAAUACUAAACUCUCAACUUUAGAGAAGAAAACCUUGUGGUACUAAGCCUAGUUCUCAAUUCUCCAAUUCAAGUGUUAUGUUUUUGAGUGAAGAGAACUAGCCUAUUUAUACUAAAAUACAAGGAGGAAAAAAACAAAACUGGCCGAUGUGAGACUUUGUUAAAUUAGCG
rnacentral:lncRNA from 1 species